rnacentral:misc_RNA from 1 species
AAGUCGUAACAAGGUUUCCGUAGGUGAACCUGCGGAAGGAUCAUUAACAAAUUUGCUUGCUACUGAAAGCGAACGGGGUAUGAAUUUUGCUUGCGCUUGUGUGCGAGCGAAGGUCUCCUGUUCGGCUUUUGUAAAGCCUGUGUCUCUAGAGAGUAAUUUCUUUAGAGAUGCGUAACAAACAAGUAACCUGGGGUACUUUAAGGUGAUAGUGCUUUAUUGUGCUUUCGUCUUAGAGCCCUUCUAAUAAUCCCAAUUUUACCAUUUUACCCCUUUAUAAACUAUAAGACUGAUAUGACAUGAUAAAUGUCAAAAACUUAAACUAUAAAACAACUCUUAACAAUGGAUAUCUAGGCUCUG